rnacentral:lncRNA from 1 species
AUGCCCUGCUGUGGGCCAGGCAACGAGCUGAGGGAGGCCGAAAGCUCCAGGGAGAGGCCAGAUUCUGCAGGACACGGAACAGAGCCUUCUACCAAUGCCGCCACUUCCUGGCUGUGUGACCUUGGACACCUCGGUGGGCCUGAGUCUCGGCUUUCUCAUUUGCAAAGGGAGACAUGCCUUGUAAAGGUUCAAUGAUGACCUGGUUUAUCAUAUGCCUAGCCCAUAGCAAGCAUUAAAUAAAUAGAAUUCUUAUCCCUGAUCAAAUGUGGCUCACUCCAACCUUUUCAAAGCCUCCCCUCACAUACCUACUUUCCAUAUAUAUACUCAGCCCUCUCUCUGAAUGAUUUCACCUUAUGCAUAGCCUCAGACGGGGUGUGGGAGUGUGCAUGUGCAUAUGCAUGUGUGAGAGAGAGACCAGGAGAGACAAAAGAAAACUGGACACAUGGUGACCACAUUUCCCCUCUCCUAGAAAAUGUGUAUAUGUAUGUGUAUAUAUAUGUGUGUGUGUGCACGCACAAACUUGUCCAUACACACAGCCCUGUGCAGCAGACGGGGCAUGGUUCCAUUCUCCUCCUUUGCA